rnacentral:rRNA from 1 species
CCUACGGGAGGCAGCAGUGAGGAAUAUUGGUCAAUGGCCGUAAGGCUGAACCAGCCAAGUCGCGUGAAGGAAGAAGGAUCUAUGGUUUGUAAACUUCUUUUAUAGGGGAAUAAAGGUAUCCACGUGUGGAUAUUUGCAUGUACCCUAUGAAUAAGCAUCGGCUAACUCCGUGCCAGCAGCCGCGGUAAUACGGAGGAUGCGAGCGUUAUCCGGAUUUAUUGGGCUUAAAGGGUACGUAGGUUGUUUUUUAAGUCAGCGGUGAAAGUUCGUGGCUCAACCAGAAAAUUGCCGUUGAAACUGGAAGACUUGAGUGUGUUAGAGGUAGGCAGAAUGCGUGGUGUAGCGGUGAAAUGCAUAGAUAUCACGCAGAACUCCGAUGGCGAAGGCAGCUUACUAAGCCAUAACUGACACUGAAGUACGAAAGCGUGGGGAGCAAACAGGAUUAGAUACCCUAGUAGUC